UACAGAGGUCUCAAGCGUUGUUCGGAAUUACUGGGCGUAAAGGGUGCGUAGGCUGCGCAGAAAGUCAGAUGUGAAAAUCCAGGAGCUCAACUUCUGAAUUGCAUCCGAUACUCCUGUGCUAGAGGACUGGAGAGGAGCUUGGAAAUUCUCGGUGUAGCAGUGAAAAUGCGUAGAGAUCAGAGGAACACUAGUGGCGAAGGCUGGGCUCUGGACAGUAUCUGACGCUGAGGCACGAAGGUCAGGGGGAGCAAACGGG
rnacentral:rRNA from 1 species